rnacentral:rRNA from 1 species
UACAGAGGGUGCGAGCGUUGUCCGGAAUCACUGGGCGUAAAGGGCGCGUAGGCGGCUUGAUAAGGUUGCGGUGAAAGCCCGGGGCUCAACCCCGGGUCGGCCGUGGCAACUGUCGAGCUGGAGCACUGUAGAGGCAGGUGGAAUUCCGGGUGGAGCGGUGAAAUGCGUAGAGAUCCGGAGGAACACCGACGGCGCAGGCAGCGUCCUGGCCGCUUGCUGACACUGAGGCACGAAAGCUGGGGGAGCAAACAGG